GUUUGUUUGGAGGUAUAAAAAGUCUAACCUGCCCCCUGAUAAAUUAAUUAAAGGGCCGCAGUAUUAUAACUGUGCAAAGGUAGCAUAAUCAUUAGAUCUUUAAUUAGGAUCUCGUAUGAAUGGUUGGACAAAAGGAAGUCUCUCUUUGUGUUAGAGCUUGAAUUUGACUUUUAAGUGAAAAGGCUUAAAUAUUCUAGGGGGACGAUAAGACCCUAUAAAACUUUACAUUAUGGUAAAAUUUAGUUAAAUUUUAAAUAUAAAAUCUUAAUUUAAUUAUUUGUUAUAUUGGGGAGAUAUAGGUAAAUUUUAUUUUAACUGCUUUAGUAUCAAACAGUUAUUAAUGAGGAAUAAUUGAUCCUUUUUAAAGAUUAGUAGAUUAAGUUACUUUAGGGAUAACAGCGUAAUUUCUUUUAAGAGUUCUUAUCGAAAAAGGAGAUUGCGACCUCGAUGUUGAAUUAAAAUGUCUAUAUAAUGGAGAGGUUAUAUGAGAGGGUCUGUUCGACCUUUAAAAUUUUACAUGAUUUGAGUUCAAACCGGCGUGAG
rnacentral:rRNA from 1 species